GUUGUUUACCUGAGUGGUGUUGUCUUUCCCUUUGGUUAUCUGGCUGUAUGAGUGAGCCAUAACAUCAUAAAGCUAGGUUACCAAAGCUAAGCACAAUGCCUAAGCGCCCUAUCCAUU
rnacentral:pre_miRNA from 9 species